GUGCUCGCUUUGGCAGCACACACACUAAAGUUGGAUACAGGGAAGAUUAGCAUGGCCCUCUGCGCAAGGAUAACACACAUUCGUGAAGUGUUCCAUAUUUAA